AAAAAUACCCCUUUAGAACCAGAAUGUUCUGGUCAGCCUCCCCUUGGCAGUCACUAUGAGAGUAGAUGGAGCUCUGGAGUCCCCACAGGGCCAUCUGCUAGGCUCCAAGCAAGCAUCAUUUGUGGAGCAUACAAUACACUCAUCCAAUCACAGGUCAGACAGGGCUGUCACCCCAAUAAAGAGACACCUGGGGUACCAAGUAGCCUGAGAUGCUCCAGAGAAAUGCAGUGCCAGUCCCAGGGUAAGUCCCUAAACUACACAGGCCAUGGCUCUUAGCUGAAAGUGAGAGACAUCUUAGCUGGUGGAGGGCUUAUUUCUGAAAUUGUUUCCACCCAUGGUCGCUUUACCUUUGAGAACAUUGAGUGUGACCCCAGAUAUAUAGGGAAUUAAAUAGGAGCACAAGUCAAACACCUACUGAUAAUCAUAAAGAAACCUAAUGUAAAAUAAAUCUUUGAUAUAUAUGCAAUUUUACGAUUGAUUAAAGAUUAAAAUAAAUUUGCAUACUAAUGAG
rnacentral:lncRNA from 1 species